AUUGAACGCUGGCGGAAUGCUUUACACAUGCAAGCCGAACGGUAGAGGGGGCAACCCCUCGAGAGUGGCGAACGGGUGUGUAAUAUAUCGGAACGUGCCCAGUCGUAGGGGAUAACGUAGCGAAAGUUACGCUAAUACCGCAUACGAUCGAAGGAUGAAAGCGGGGGAUCGCAAGACCUCGCGCGAUUGGCGCGGCCGAUAUCAGAUUAGGUAGUUGGUGGGGUAAAGGCUCACCAAGCCAACGAUCUGUAGCUGGUCUGAGAGGACGACCAGCCACACUGGAACUGAGACACGGUCCAGACUCCUACGGGAGGCAGCAGUGGGGAAUUUUGGACAAUGGACGCAAGUCUGAUCCAGCCAUUCCGCGUGCAGGAUGAAGGCCCUCGGGUUGUAAACUGCUUUUGUACGGAACGAAAAGGUCUCUCUUAAUACGGGGGACUCAUGACGGUACCGUAAGAAUAAGCACCGGCUAACUACGUGCCAGCAGCCGCCGUAA
rnacentral:rRNA from 1 species